UGCCGAGUGCCGCACUGCGGCAGCGGGAGAACCAAUUUUGGGGUGAAUACAUCACAGCAUGUUAGGAGACUUCCUCUCCGAACCCGUCAGCUAAUCUCGUAGGCGUUGG
rnacentral:sRNA from 1 species